UACGUAGGGUGCAAGCGUUAAUCGGAAUUACUGGGCGUAAAGCGUGCGCAGGCGGUUUUGUAAGUCUGUCGUGAAAUCCCCGGGCUUAACCUGGGAAUUGCGAUGGAGACUGCAAGGCUUGAAUCUGGCAGAGGGGGGUAGAAUUCCACGUGUAGCAGUGAAAUGCGUAGAGAUGUGGAGGAACACCGAUGGCGAAGGCAGCCCCCUGGGUCAAGAUUGACGCUCAUGCACGAAAGCGUGGGGAGCAAACAGG
rnacentral:rRNA from 1 species